ACAAGAAGAGAAUCCAACGGAGAGUGGCGAAAGACGGCGUUGUUUCGAUGUUUCCAAAUUUCCCACAGGAGAUGAGCAAUCACUUCGAAAUCCAGAGACUCUCGAGGGUUAGAAAUAUAGUCUACAAGCCAAGCAUCAAGUCUGCGUACUGAGGUAGGACAUAUACUGACUCUGAUAUCUUCAUGGUUCCAUAUGUCGUGAGUCCAAGGGCAAAAGAAAAACAGAUGCUCUAUUGUUUCUGGUAUAGAGUUAUGGCAGAGGGUACAAAAGGGGUGCUGAAUGAUAUGUCGCUGGUAAAGGUUCUGUUUUGUGGCUAAUGCGUUUUUACAAGCUAACCAUAGAAAAGCUUUAAGCUUGGGCACUGUCUGCAUAUUCCAAAUUUUUUUCCAUAACAUAGGCGGGUUAGUAUAAGAGGAUGAUGGGGUUUUAAUUAUGUGCUGAGAUUGUGCAGAGAGAUAAUGAUGACAACUCUUCACUGAGUAGGUACCAGAAGAUGUCUCUGUCCAAACCAGGUGAUCGUGGUGAAGAAAAGGAUUGAUAGGAGUGUUGAGAAUGGCUUUACUAACCUGGUGAUCGAAGAAUGAAGUAACUGAGGAAGACUUCCAUUCAGAACGUUGAGAAUCAAUGA
rnacentral:lncRNA from 1 species